rnacentral:rRNA from 1 species
AUUGAACGCUGUCGGCAGGCCUAACACAUGCAAGUCGAGCGAGCGGCGGACGGGUGAGUACUGUAUGGGGACUGCCCGAUAGAGGGGGCUAACUACUGGAAACGGUGGCUACUACCGCAUACUGUCGGUUACCCCAUAUGGUAUUAGCUAGGAGGUAAGGUAAUGGCUUACCUAGGCGACGAUCCCUAGCUGGGCUGAGAGGAUGAUCAGCAACACUGGGACUGAGACACGGCCCAGACUCCUACGGAGGCAGCAGUGGGGAAUAUUGCACAAUGGGCGCAAGCCUGAUGCAGCCAUGCCGCGUGUAUGAAGAAGGCCCUAGGGUUGUAAAGUACUUUAAGUCGGGAGGCGUUACCGACAGAAGAAGCACCGGCUAACUCCGUGCCAGCAGCCGCGGUAAUUC